GAUGAACGCUAGCGGCAGGCUUAACACAUGCAAGUCGAGGGGUAUGUCGAUUUAUCGGCAGAGACCGGCGCACGGGUGCGUAACGCGUAUGCAAUCUACCUUUUACAGAGGGAUAGCCCAGAGAAAUUUGGAUUAAUACCUCAUAGUAUAGUGACUCGGCAUCGAGAUACUAUUAAAGUCACAACGGUAAAAGAUGAGCAUGCGUCCCAUUAGCUAGUUGGUAAGGUAACGGCUUACCAAGGCUACGAUGGGUAGGGGUCCUGAGAGGGAGAUCCCCCACACUGGUACUGAGACACGGACCAGACUCCUACGGGAGGCAGCAGUGAGGAAUAUUGGACAAUGGGCGCAAGCCUGAUCCAGCCAUGCCGCGUGCGGGAUGACGGUCCUAUGGAUUGUAAACUGCUUUUGUACGAGAAGAAACACCUCUACGUGUAGAGACUUGACGGUAUCGUAAGAAUAAGGAUCGGCUAACUCCGUGCCAGCAGCCGCCGUAAGAC
rnacentral:rRNA from 1 species